CUGGUAUGAAGAAAAAUCUUAUAAGUCAUAUCAUCCAGCCUUAUUCAGUCAAUUAAAUUAUAUGACUACAUAUUACUUAAUAUUCACAUUUCUUCGCUGGUAUUACUUAAAAGUGUUGCAUUUUAAUAUCUCACUUGAAUCUACAUGCAAAUACUUGAUAUAAUGUAAACACUGAGAAAAAAGGUUUGUGAAAUGUAGAGUAUUACAAAUGAGAUUCAACUUUAUAGUAGAUACAAACAGGAUAGCAAAUUGAACAGUGAAUAUACUUCCUAGCAGUUACUCAGACAUCAGACUUUGUCUUUACUGGUAAACUCGUCACUCUGGAGGAGAGGAAGCCCGGCUCAGCCCCUCCAGGAUGACCAUCAGGGUAGCCAACAAAGUCUGCAGGUAGAUUUUUGCAUAUCUGGUGCUCCGGUUUCAAGAUCAUAGUUUAACCAGGUACUGUAAAUAAAACUUUAGUCCAUGUUGUGAUGAUCCGUGUACUGAUGGACGCCGUCAGCUGGUCCAGGUGCUUGGAUCCAAUGGAAAGGUAAUCAGCACAGCGAUCAUGGCUCAGAAACACGAGGUGUUGCGAUGCAAACCUGAAAAAUUAAAAAAACAAAAAACUAAUAAAGUCCAUAUUUAGCUGCACAACGUAAUCAAAACUAAUAAAUCCUCAGCUCUUUUUGAGAGUUUUGCUUGAAAAUAAAUUGACAAUAUCUCAGGAAAUUAAAUGUUUAAGUGAAAUAGUUCUGGUAUCACAAAGAAACUGCAAAAAAUGUUUCAGAGGUGUAACAACACUGAAGUCACUGAGUAAGAGUGAAGUGAAAUACUACUUAGAAAUGCAUGUUAAAAUCUGAAUACCCUUGAAAGUGUGCAGCUGAAAUUAAUUUAAACUACUGGCAGGCAAAGCAUAAUGUUCGCCUAAUAUCUGUACCAACAGUAAGACAAAAAAUGAUGCAUACAAGAGGCAUUAGUUUAUAAAAGUCGAGGCAAACCUAAAUUUACCAUUUUAAAAACAAAAAGCAGCGGG